rnacentral:lncRNA from 1 species
GCAGGGCACCUUUAUCAGUUCAUUUAGAUUCAUGUAAUGAUGGAUUGAAUGUGUUGUUGCAUUUAAAAUGUCUACAUGGACACUACAAAGCGAACAUUCUUGGACUAAAAGCCUCGAAACCUGAAUUUCUAAAUCAAAUCAUGUUGUUUAAAAUGUGUUUGUUAUUGGACAGCUAGCAAUGAAUUUCUUUGAAGGUUUAUCACAGACUCUCAGGCCUUCAGACUAACUAAUAAAUCGGUAGUUGUUGCUUUAACUUAUAUAAUCUUUUAAUGAAUGUUAUAUUAUAUACAAUGUUAUAAAGUGGCAUAAUAAUGAAUCGUGCUGUUUGUCUCUUCUGAAAUUGUAGUCAGUACUGUCAGUAGUAUUCUAACUAUCUCUGACCUGUUAACACUUGGACAGCUUUAUGUUGAAGCAUUUAUAUAUUAAAUAUUUUUGAAACCCAGUAUGUAAAUGUGUAUGCACAUUUAUUUAAUUAAAAAUACAGAAGAAAUAAACUGGGGAGAAAAGUAGAUUGAACUAAGAGAUUAUUAAGGGUACAGCAUUACUUUAGGAUAAUAUACUCUGCAAUGUUUUUACACUUGUUUUUAGGAAAUAAAUGUAUGUAGUUAACUUACAUGUAUUCACUAUUAUUCAAAUUUAGAUUUUUUUUAUAUGCAAUGUCUGUAUUUGUGUCUUGUCUCUCCAGAAGAAGUGAUGUGUUGUUGGUUGGAAGCAGAGCUCUGGACGUGUGGACAGAUGUUGACUGUAAUGAUGGACAUCUGCUCAUGGACAGUCUGUGCAAAAGUAUAACCGCUGCGGGUCACAGUGCUGGAAGCUCCAGGGGGAGACCGUACUGAUAUCCCCCUUCUUCAGGCGCGCCUUCACACACACUCCUCCAUUCACUCGUAUCGCAGAGACCUGGCUGGGAUCGAACCAGCAACCUCUGAACCGUGAGGCAGCGCUCUUACCUGCGAGCCACAGAUCUCUUGCUGGAGCACCUGAAGGAACUUAUAUUUGACUGUUUACCUGUGAUUUCCCAAUAAAGCACUUAAAGUGAUCAGAGGGGUUUGAACCCGUGUCUCCAUCACAGCCUUGUGUUCAGAGAACAUGUGUUCAUCCACCGGACCGUCAUGAAUUCGAGGUGUUUGUUGACUUUGUUGGAUGAGAUCAGUUUAAUGUGAGCAGUAGUGAGAUUUGAAUCAGAUCUCCACGAUUAAAACAGAGCUUUAUCUCCUGCACCACUGAGUCUGUGAGGUUUUGAACAGGAUUUUAUUGAGAGAUUUGUUGUGAAUGAUGCAUAACUUUAUCAGCUUGGGAUCUGAACCCAGACCUUUGUGUUUGAGACGGAAAUCUUUAACCACUGAGACACAGAAGCUGUGAUGUUGUGCUGGGGAUGUUUUCAGGAUCAUAAAGAUUUUAAGUUGAUCUGAACAUAAGUUUAUGCUGAGUAAAAGACAAUCACUUCAUCUGUAGGAUUUGAUCACGUGUCUCUUGUGGUUUCAUGAUCCUAAGACAGCGUUUAACCACUGGGUUCACCACUAUUUUUGGUCCAUUACAUUAGAAUUUAUUACUUUUAUUCUUAUUAAUUUUAGUUAAAACAUCAACACUUUGUGCUUUCUUUUAAAUAA